rnacentral:rRNA from 1 species
UACGAAGGGGGCUAGCGUUGCUCGGAAUCACUGGGCGUAAAGGGUGCGUAGGCGGGUCUUUAAGUCAGGGGUGAAAUCCUGGAGCUCAACUCCAGAACUGCCUUUGAUACUGAGGAUCUUGAGUAUGGGAGAGGUGAGUGGAACUGCGAGUGUAGAGGUGAAAUUCGUAGAUAUUCGCAAGAACACCAGUGGCGAAGGCGGCUCACUGGCCCAUUACUGACGCUGAGGCACGAAAGCGUGGGGAGCAAAGCAGG